UUCCUGGGGAAGGCUAAUCCUCCCAGGGUAAGUCGGGAGCUAAGGCGAGGCCGAAAGGCGUAGUCGAUGCACAACUGGUUGAUAUUCCAGUACCACCACGUGCGCGCCCAAGCCAACUCUUUGGUGCUAGGGGCUGUCUGCCUUCGGGUAGACGAACCGACACACCGUUGACGCGGCUAGCAAUGAGGGGACGCAGGAGGGUAGGUGAACCCAGGCGAUGGUUGUCCUGGGGUAAGCGAGUAGGGAGAGGCCUAGGUAAAUCCGGGCCUCACACAUCCUGAGACGCGAUGCCGAGCCGAUACAGGCGAAGUCACUGAUCCCAUGCUGCCGAGAAAAGCCUCUAGCGAGCUCACGUGGUGCCCGUACCCCAAACCAACACAGGUGGGCAGGUAGAGAAUACCAAGGCGAUCGGGAGAACUAUGGUUAAGGAACUCGGCAAAAUACAUCCGUAACUUCGGGAGAAGGAUGACCCCAUUAGGGUGACGGACUUCGCGUCCCGAGCUCGAAGGGGUGGCAGAUACUAGGGGAAAGCGACUGUUUACUAAAAACACAGCAGCGUGCUAAGCCGCAAGGCGACGUAUACGCUGUGACGCCUGCCCGGUGCCGGAAGGUUACGGGGAAGGGUUAGCCCUCGGGCGAAGCUCUGAACCUAAGCCCCGGUAAACGGCGGCCGUAACUAUAACGGUCCUAAGGUAGCGAAAUUCCUUGUCGGGUAAGUUCCGACCUGCACGAAUGGCGUAACGACUUCCCCACUGUCUCAACCAUAGACCCGGCGAAAUUGAAGUACGAGUAAAGAUGCUCGUUAGCUGCAGAAGGACGGAAAGACCCCGUGGACCUUUACUACAGCCUGAUAUUGGGUUUUGGUAUGUGUUGUGUAGGAUAGGUGGGAGACUUGGAAGCGUCGGCGCCAGCCGGCGUGGAGUCACCCUUGAAAUACCACCCUGCACAUGCCGGAACUCUAACCUAGAUCCGUUAUCCGGAUUGGGGACAGUGGCAGGUGGGUAGUUUGACUGGGGCGGUCGCCUCCUAAAGAGUAACGGAGGCGCCCAAAGGUUCCCUCAGACUGGUUGGCAAUCAGUCGUCGAGUGCAAUGGCAUAAGGGAGCUUGACUGCGAGACGUACAUGUCGAGCAGGUGCGAAAGCAGGGCAUAGUGAUCCGGCGGUUGCGUGUGGAAGCGCCGUCGCUCAACGGAUAAAAGGUACCCCGGGGAUAACAGGCUCAUCUUCCCCAAGAGUCCAUAUCGACGGGAAGGUUUGGCACCUCGAUGUCGGCUCAUCGCAUCCUGGGGCCGUAGCAGGUCCCAAGGGUUGGGCUGUUCGCCCAUUAAAGCGGUACGCGAGCUGGGUUUAGAACGUCGUGAGACAGUUCGGUCCCUAUCCUCUGCAGCCGGAGGGAAUUUGAGGAAAGCUGUCCCUAGUACGAGAGGACCGGGACGGACGCAGCUCUCGUGUGCCAGUUGUCCUGCCAAGGGCACGGCUGGUUAGCGACCUGCGGAAGGGAUAAGCGCUGAAAGCAUCUAAGUGCGAAGCCUGUUCCUAGAUGAGAUUCCCCACUGGGUUAACCAGGUAAGGCCCGUGACCAGACGAUCACGUUGAUAGGCCGGAGGUGUACGCACAGCAAUGUGUUCAGCCGACCGGUACUAAUCGGCCGAGGGCUUGGAUU
rnacentral:rRNA from 1 species